GAGCUAAAAUUAUUGGCAUCUAAACCAACGUCAACACAUGUAUUUGAGGAAGAGAACUAUGACUCUUUGUCAUUCAUUGAAGCCGCACUAGCAAAGAAAACUUGCACAGCUGCAACUCAUGCCACCUAAAGGUUUUUACUAGAAAUUGCAAGCCUUAACUAUAGAUUUGAUGAAAACUGAACUGACUGGAACUGAAGCCUUUUAUAUAUACAUUCUCAUUUAUGUACUAAUAAUUAUUAAAGCUGAUGAAAGUAU